AUGGAAUGUAACAGUGAUACGAAGUUACUUACAGUAUGGAAGGAUGUCAUAAAGGACAGAAAUAAACUAAUAUCUGUUCCUUUAGAAGGCAGAGGAAUAAUACUUCACAACUCUUCGUACUUCAAAGUGACUGGCGGAAAACUUAGGAACUUAGAAAAUUUCUCAAUGGCCUCUGACAAACACUUCAGUUACCAAUUGAGGGGAUUAAGUAGUGCAAACUUCCAAUUAUAAAAUAAAUGUCCUCACCUGAGUUUCAUUCAUCCUCACUUACUUCACAUCCUGAUCCUCAAGUCUGACUUUUGCCAAAAAUCAGAAUGGACCCUGCUUCCUGCUUCCAAAGAUGUUCAUCAACAAAAAUCAUCAAUACCCAAAAAAAAAUCAUCAAUACCCCAUUUAUUUAGCAUUUCCUGUGCACUUGGUAGUGUGGUGAACACUUUAAAAAUAAGUGAGUUAAACCUCCCAAGAAGUCUAUGAAGUAGAUAUCACUGUUCACAUCUGCCCCUUGGCCUUUCCCUUGCAUUGAAACAAGACUUUUAUCUUGGUGCUCACAAUUUAGUGAUAGAGUUUGAGAAGUAAGCAGCCAAGAACAGCACAGAUAGUACAAAGUAUUGACCUUGAUCUCACAUCUUAAUGAUUUAAUGGGACAAAAAUUUAUGCCAUUAUUUAAAUUUAAUUCACUGAAGUUAUGUAGUGCUUAAUAAUUUCUCAGAUGGUGUUGCCUAUAUAAUCUUCCCCAAUCUUCACAGUAACAUUGAGAAGUAAAUAUUGUUAUGACCCCAUUUUCACAGACCAGGGAAGGAGACUCAUAGAUGUUAAGCAACCUACACAAAAACCUAUUAGCAAAUGGCAACUGUAAGAGGUGUCUUACAGGUGAAGGUGGUGUCCCUUCAGAUCCAUGCACUUUGAAUAAUAUAGUGACUCUAUAUAACUAUAUAUACUAACUGUAUAGAUAGUUACCUAUGUAACUAGAUUAACACACACACAUGGUAGCAUGUGUUGUAGUGGUCAAGGCCAAGACGAGCCACUUUGGCAUGAACACUAUUUUGAGCUGAAGGCAAUCAGGAUCCUGCAGGCUCAAGAAAAACUUUUGCCCCUCCCUUAACUACUUAGUAGAAUCUAAAUUGGGCAUCUUUCUCAGAAUAAGAGUUAUUGGCAAAGAUAAUUUUUAUGUAAGUGACCCAUUUGUAUGGCAAGGUAACAUCCAAUUACUGAACAUAUGCUUUUCUUAUUGCCCUG
rnacentral:lncRNA from 1 species